rnacentral:rRNA from 1 species
CAGUCGCCACGGUAAUACAGAGGGUGCGAGCGUUAAUCGGAUUUACUGGGCGUAAAGCGUGCGUAGGCGGCUUCUUAAGUCGGAUGUGAAAUCCCUGAGCUUAACUUAGGAAAUGCAUUCGAUACUGGGAAGCUAGAGUAUGGGAGAGGAUGGUAGAAUUCCAGGUGUAGCGGUGAAAUGCGUAGAGAUCUGGAGGAAUACCGAUGGCGAAGGCAGCCAUCUGGCCUAAUACUGACGCUGAGGUACGAAAGCAUGGGGAGCAAACAGGAUUAGAGACCCCCGUAGUCCCUGUCUCUUAUAC